GACGAACGCUGGCGGCGUGCUUAACACAUGCAAGUCGAACGGAAAGGCCCUGCUUUUGUGGGGUGCUCGAGUGGCGAACGGGUGAGUAACACGUGAGUAACCUGCCCUUGACUUUGGGAUAACUUCAGGAAACUGGGGCUAAUACCGGCUAGGAGCUCCUGCUGCAUGGUGGGGGUUGGAAAGUUUCGGCGGUUGGGGAUGGACUCGCGGCUUAUCAGCUUGUUGGUGGGGUAGUGGCUUACCAAGGCUUUGACGGGUAGCCAGCCUGAGAGGGUGACCGGCCACAUGGGGACUGAGAUACGGCCCAGACUCCUACGGGAGGCAGCAGGGGGGAAUAUUGCACAAUGGGCGGAAGCCUGAUGCAGCAACGCCGCGUGCGGGAUGACGGCCUUCGGGUUGUAAACCGCUGUAGCCUGUGACGAAGCGUGAGUGACGGUAAUGGGUAAAGAAGCACCGGCUAACUACGUG
rnacentral:rRNA from 1 species